rnacentral:rRNA from 1 species
UACAGAGGUCUCAAGCGUUGUUCGGAUUCAUUGGGCGUAAAGGGUGCGUAGGCGGCGAGGUAAGUCGGAUGUGAAAUCUCAGGGCUCAACCCUGAAACUGCAUUCGAUACUGCCUUGCUCGAGGACUCGAGAGGAGAUUGGAAUUCACGGUGUAGCAGUGAAAUGCGUAGAUAUCUGGAGGAACACCGGUGGCGAAGGCGGCAUCCUGGACCGGUAUUGACGCUGAGGCGCGAAAGCUAGGGGAGCAAACGGG